rnacentral:rRNA from 1 species
UAGUAAUGGCAGGUCAGCAUACUGCCGUGAAUAACGUUCCCGGGCCUUGUACACACCGCCCGUCACACCAUGAGAGUUGGGGAUACCCGAAGCCUGUGAGCUAACAGUAAUGGAGCAGCAGUCGAAGGUAGAAUCAAUGAUUGGGGUGAAGUCGUAACAAGGUAAC